GAUUACGGGUCCGGACGUCCGCACCUGGUUGCCUGUUUAGGGUGAUGCUGUAGUGGCGAUAAGUCCCGCCACUGUCCAGAAGUGAGGGAUCCCAGCCACAGCAAGAGCCAUGGAGGGCCAGCACGUGUAGGAGCUGCUGGCCAAGGUAGAGCAGGAGGAGGCAGAGAAGCUGCAGCGCAUCAUGGUGCACAAGGAGCUGGAGCUGGAGUUCGACCUGAGCAACCUGCUGGCUUUGGACCGCAACCCCCGACCGUGCUGUGCCAGCCCGGGCCGUCGCCAGAGGCGGAGCUGCGAGCGCUUGCGUGGGACAACACGCAGCUGCUCAUCAACCAGCUGUGGCGGCUGCCGACCGAGCGCGUGGAGGAGGCGAUGGUCGCGCGCUUGCUGGAGCCCGCCACUCGCCUGCCCCGCGAGAAGCCGCUGCCCCGACCAAGGCCGCUCACCUGCUGGCAGCAGUUCGCUAGCCUUAAGGGAAUCAGUCCCAAGAAGAAUACCAACCUCCUGUGGAACAAGGCGAGUGGCCAGUGGAGGCGCCAUUGGGGCUACAAGCUCGCCUGGGAUGACACUAAGGAAUGGGUGAUCGAGGUGCCUGGGAGCUCCAACCCCAUGGAAGACCAGUUCGCCAAGAGGACUCAGGCCAAGAAAGAACGCGUGGCCAAGAAUGAGCUGAACCGUCUGCGGAACCUGGCUCGCGUGCACAAGAUGCAGAUGCCCAGCUCAGCCGGCCUGCACCCUACUGGACACCAGAGUAAGGAGGAGCUGUGCCUUGCCAUGCAAGUGGCCAAGGUUUCCACUGAUUCGGUGGGAUGCUUCCAGGAGUGCCUUCCCAAGGAGAAAGCUCCCCGGGGCUCCUGCAAGAAGAGGAAGUUUCAGCCCUUCUUUGGGGACUUUGCAGCCUAGAUAAAAGAACCAGUUGGAGCUACUUUGAGUCAUGAACAGCAAGAAACCUCGGCUGGACGUGACAAGGGCCACCAACAAGCAGAUGAGGGAAGAGGACCAAGAGGAGGCUGCCAAGAGGAGGAAAAUGAGCCAGAAAGGUAAGAGGAAAGGGGCCGGCAAGGACCUUCUGGCAAGAGAAAGGGCGGCCUGCCGGGUCAGGGAGAAAAGAGGAAAGGAGGGUUGGGAAGCAAAAAGCAUUCCUGGCCUUCUGCUUUAGGUGGCAAGAAGAAAGGAGUGCUGCCCCAAGGUGGGAAGAGGAGGAAGUAGUGUUCUCCCCUCGGGACCUGUUCUGAAAAGCUGGGACUGUACUAAAAGUUAUCUUGGGCUGUAUAGGUGGCCGCUGCCCUCAAUGACAUUUGACAUUAAAGGGACGGGUUUGCCUUCCCUCGAGUCAGUGCUGGACGAAUUAAUAGAGACACUGACUGGAAAUUGGUGUAUUUUGAGAAUAUGAGAAUUAUAGAAACGAUAUAGCCAGAACCAGGAAUAAGUUAAGGACUGCCUUUUUUACUUUACUUUGGAUACUGCGUUAUAGUAGAUUGGUUUCAACAUUUUUGCAUUAUUUUUAUAACAAAGCUUGUGUAUUUAUCAAAGCGGGGAGGGCGGGGGAAAAUUAUAUCUACCUGUGAUUUGCAAGUAUUUUAAAUGGAUGCAGGUACCUGGUGUUGCUUUUAACUUUUACUGUCGGUAGAGGUUGUAUGUGAAGCCAGUAACCUGGGCACCAAUGUGGAGAGUGCUUGAGAAAAACAAGGUAGUUACAGUGGUUCUAAAUAAGACCCCUUGUAUUAGGAAAACUUUGACACUAAAUAUAAUAUUAAAAGUAGAGUGCUUUUUGAUGUUGGUUCAGGUGGUACAUUUGGCCAAUGGAUUGCUUUAAGUGAUAAAUUGGAACCACACUAAGUAAUGUUAAUUAACCUUGUUACUCCAGAAAUAGUUGUCAUUUUGUUUGUAACCGGUGGCUUUUGUUUAAUUGGCUUGGGUUUUAGAUAUUGUCAAGUGCAGGGCUGGCAUUCACUAUGGAACCAAGGCUCCCCUGGAACUCAGGGCCAAGUGCUGAGAUUAUAAUCGAGCAGCUACGCCCAGCAGCAGAUUCCAUGAUUAUUUCUGUCCUGGUAGUUUUUUCCUUGUUUCAUUGUCUUAUUUUGUUCUUAAUAACCUUUUCUUUGCAUAAUUAAAAAAAA